AGUGAACGCUGGCGGUAGGCCUAACACAUGCAAGUCGAACGGCAGCACAGUAAGAGCUUGCUCUUACGGGUGGCGAGUGGGGGGCGGGAGAGGAAUACAACCGAAUCUACUUUUUCGUGGGGGAUCACGUAAGGAAACUUAAGCUAAUACCGCAUACGACCUACGGGUGAAAGCAGGGGAUCUUCGGACCUUGCGCGAUUGAAUGAGCCGCUGUCGGAUUAGCUAGUUGGCGGGGUAAAGGCCCACCAAGGCGACGAUCCGUAGCUGGUCUGAGAGGAUGGUCGGCCACACUAGAACUGAGACACGGUCCAGACUCCUACGGGAGGCAGCAGUGUGGAAUGUUGGGCAAUGGGCGCAAGCCUGACCCAGCCAUACCGCGUGGGUGAAGAAGGCCUUCGGGUUGUAAAGCCCUUUUGUUGGGAAAGAAAAGCAGCAGGUUAAUACCCCGCUGUUCUGACGGUACCCAAUGAAUAAGCACCGGCUAACUUCGUG
rnacentral:rRNA from 1 species